AGUUGGGGCCAUCCCGGCUAGAAAAUCACAGCCCCGUGGCUGGCGCGACCCUGACCGCACGGCCAGGCAGAGGUGAGUACGCGGUGGCCGGACGGGCGGGACAUGCGCUGAGGACUCCGAGAACCGUCAGAACCGUCGCACGCGUUCACGUCCGCGUCCCCAAGGGCUGCGCUCAGCCAAGCGCAGUGCCCGGAGCUCGGAGCCGGCCCGGCCUGGGGGACCCUGCUGGCCGAGGAGGUCGUCAGUCCCGUCUUGUCUUCCAGAUCCGGAAGACGAGGCUUCCCGACAAGGAACCGCCCAACAUGGCCUCGGAGAGCAGGAAGCUGUGAGGUGGCCGUUCUGUGAGCACAGUGGACUCCCUCAUGGAGAAGUUCAAUGCGUCCAUCGCCUAUGACUGGCACCUGUGGGAGGUGGAUAUUCAAGGCAGCAAAGCCUACAGCAGGAGCCUAGAGAAGGCAGGGCUCCUCGCCAAGGCCGAGGUGGACCAGAUACUCCAUGGCCUAGACAAGGUGGCUGAGGAGUGGGCCCAGGGCACCUUCAAACUCAACCCCAAUGAUGAGGACAUCCACACAGCCAAGUAGCGCUGCCUGAAGGCAUGA